GGACGGUCCAGAUUGUGCAUAAGCCCUCCACGCGGCAAAGAAUGAUUCGUUAGUACAUCAUGCUGUCCCACACAAUAAAACCUUCAUCUGAAGGCAAUGAAUGAAUGUAAAGCAUUGCAGGAGAGAGGUGCAGCGAACGAGGCCGAGGUCGAACGAAGGGAGGGAAAUAUCUAGAGAGACAAACUAGUAAAGGACCCAAAGGUGUGACUACCAAAUUCACACGCUCUCUCUCUCUCCCUCUCUCGCUCUCUCUCACACCAACCCACGCUGCCCGAAAUACUACGCCGGCACGCUCACAUCUCACUCCCUCACCACCUCUCUGGAUUUUCGGGGCAUUGUGAAGUUGGUGUUCAAGCCCGUCGCGCACCCAGACGACGAAGACGAUUGAGCUGCUGGCUGGCUUUUCCCACACUGCCAAAGAAAAUGGUCCAGAUUUUCCAGGAUCGUGGCUGGUUUUGAUUCUCUUGAGUGAUUGAAAGGAAGGGGAUUAUUGUCCUUGAAUUGGUAAUGGAACCCAAGUGAUGGCAAGGUUUUACGACAUUUCAGAAGAACUUUACGCAAGUUCAAACAUUUUGGAUCAGAACAAGAGUGCUAUCCGAAAUAAGAUGACCAGCGACUCUAAGAUGCCGGAUACUUGAGCAAAAUGUUUUGUUCGAUUAGAUAUGACUCAACACAACAUCAGAAGGGUGGUGGAUCUCUAUGCUGACCUUUCGAGCUCUUUCGCGAGAUCGAUGGAAGCUUCGUCCGAAGGCGAAUCGGGAGGAAAACACAGUCAAAAGAGAGUUAGAUCUGGGUAAUUCCUCAACUGGACCUCUUUCUAGAAAACCUGCACUGUUUUCUCCAAUCUACCACAGGAGCAGAAGAGAUUUUUUUCCCUUUUCUUUCACUGGGUUGGAAGAAUUUUAUUUGAUUUUCAAUGAUCCUCAAUUGUCACUAGUUUCUUUGAAAAUAACAGUUUGAUUAAUCAGCCAUUGUAAUUUGUGUAACUCUGUUCAUCUAUAAAAUCACGCAUGCUUGUGCUAUACUAA